GUCUGGAUGGCUGAGUGGUCUAAGGAGCUGCAUUCAGGUUGCAGUUUCACCAGGAGGUGUGGGUUCAAGUCCCAUUUCUGACA
rnacentral:tRNA from 1 species